UUCGCCCUUAGAGUUUGAUCCUGGCUCAGGACGAACGCUGGCGGCGUGCCUAACACAUGCAAGUCGAGCGAGUGGAGUUCUUCGGAACAAAGCUAGCGGCGGACGGGUGAGUAACACGUGGGCAACCUGCCUCAUAGAGGGGAAUAGCCUCCCGAAAGGGAGAUUAAUACCGCAUAAGAUUGUAGCUUCGCAUGAAGUAGCAAUUAAAGGAGCAAUCCGCUAUGAGAUGGGCCCGCGGCGCAUUAGCUAGUUGGUGAGGUAACGGCUCACCAAGGCGACGAUGCGUAGCCGACCUGAGAGGGUGAUCGGCCACAUUGGGACUGAGACACGGCCCAGACUCCUACGGGAGGCAGCAGUGGGGAAUAUUGCACAAUGGGGGAAACCCUGAUGCAGCAACGCCGCGUGAGUGAUGACGGCCUUCGGGUUGUAAAGCUCUGUCUUCAGGGACGAUAAUGACGGUACCUGAGGAGGAAGCCACGGCUAACUACGUGCCAGCAGCCGCGGUAAUACGUAGGUGGCGAGCGUUGUCCGGAUUUACUGGGCGUAAAGGGAGCGUAGGCGGACUUUUAAGUGAGAUGUGAAAUACCCGGGCUCAACUUGGGUGCUGCAUUUCAAACUGGAAGUCUAGAGUGCAGGAGAGGAGAAUGGAAUUCCUAGUGUAGCGGUGAAAUGCGUAGAGAUUAGGAAGAACACCAGUGGCGAAGGGCGAUUUCUCUGGACUGUAACGGACGGUGAGGCUUCGAAAGGGUGGGGGAGCAAACAGGAUUAGAUACCCUGGUAGUCCACGCCGUAAACGAUGAAAUACUAGGUGUAGGGGUUGUCAUGAUCUCUGUGCCGCCGCUAACGCAUUAAGUAUUCCGCCUGGGGAGUACGGUCGCAAGAUUAAAACUCAAAGGAAUUGACGGGGGCCCGCACAAGCAGCGGAGCAUGUGGUUUAAUUCGAAGCAACGCGAAGAACCUUACCUAGACUUGACAUCUCCUGCAUUACCCUUAAUCGGGGAAGUUCCUUCGGGGACAGGAAGACAGGUGGUGCAUGGUUGUCGUCAGCUUGUGUCGUGAGAUGUUGGGUUAAGUCCCGCAACGAGCGCAACCCUUAUUGUUAGUUGCUACCAUUUAGUUGAGCACUCUAGCGAGACUGCCCGGGUUAACCGGGAGGAAGGUGGGGAUGACGUCAAAUCAUCAUGCCCCUUAUGUCUAGGGCUACACACGUGCUACAAUGGCAAGUACAAAGAGAAGCAAGACCGCGAGGUGGAGCAAAACUCAAAAACUUGUCUCAGUUCGGAUUGUAGGCUGAAACUCGCCUACAUGAAGCUGGAGUUGCUAGUAAUCGCGAAUCAGCAUGUCGCGGUGAAUACGUUCCCUGGGCCUUGCACUCACCGCCCGUCA
rnacentral:rRNA from 1 species